rfam:Schistosoma curassoni strain Dakar, Senegal genome assembly, scaffold: SCTD_contig0000489
AGCUUACAGAAUCCGUAUUGAGAUUUCGUCAGAUGACAACCCACAAGAGCUGACGAGACUUCUGAAAUAAGUGAAGCA